rnacentral:lncRNA from 1 species
UGAAAAUGUACCAUGUUAAGACAUUGUGCUAGACACAGGAGCAGAGAAGAUACAGUCCCUUUCGUCAUGGAAAUCACACUUAGUAGGAGAGCAGCUACAUGGGACAGGACCAGUUGACAGUAGAUAAAAGUGAAAUAUUAACAUAGUCACAGGAUGAUUUUCAACAAUGUUUGCCAGACUUAGAACAGGAGGAGAGGAUGUUGAGUUGAGGGCUGUGAAGAUUCAAGUCAGCUCCUGACCUUAUGUCAGUAUUAAGAAGGGCAGCAUUGAUCUUGGUGAACACGACGAGCAGUCCAGGAAAGGAGUACAAAGAAUAACGGCAAGCACUGGUCCUAUGUGGAGGGUGUGAAAAUGGUGUCAGGUGAAGAGGUAUCACCUCCAACAGGACCAUCAAGUUAGACAUCUUUUAAGGGAUAAGAGGUCCAGAGGUUAAGCCCUGAUGGUGGGUCACUGAGACACUGUGGAGGGAAAUGGAUAAGCCAGGAGUGUUGUGAAGAUGUAAUAAGGGCUGCACAUGUCAUAAUGGGAUCUAAACAAAUAGGAGGUGUACAGGGCUUGUGGGGAGUUGGCUGCCCAGAAAUCUGAGAGAAAAUAAGACAUGUAAAGUCCUGCUCACCCAUGAAAGUUUCUAAAUACAGGAGCUCUGAUUCUAAAAUCAUCUCCAUUUAUAUUGGUUUAUCUUUUUAAGACACUUUGUUGUUUCAGAGCUACCUUGCCAUGAAGAUUCAUUACCUUUUCUUUGCUCUUUUCUUCCUUGGCCAGCUGUCUACCUCAGGUUUAUCUUCUUCAGCAAGUUCUUCUUUCAGUUCAGAAUAUCCUCAAGCAGGAUGAGCCUGGAGAAAAACUGUGAAAUUAUUGGAGUUUACCUUUAAAACCAUAAAAUGAUAAGGGCCUGAUAGGGUUAAGAAUCAAAAGAAAGGAAUGGUGGGCCAGGCACGGUGGCUCACACCUGUAAUCCCAACAAUUUGGGAGGCCAAGGGAACUGAAGAUGCUUAUGAAGUCAUUAGUAUCAUGGACUGUAAAAAUCAAACACUGUGUAAUUCUCAGAAUACAACUAGACACUGCUCUCAUGGGAAGGAGAUUGAACUAUGUGUCUUGCGUCUUGGAAAAAAUGCAAAGCGACUCACUAACCAUGAAGAAACAGCAAAUUAGGAAGACAGGAUGAUCAAUUUCCUUGUCUUAUUAAAAAAUAAAGUCUGCUUUCUUUUCUCUCUCCUUUUAUUCUCUAGUGACACAUUUAUUUAUUGACAGUUUGGACAAAAGUUUAUCAAGGAACUUUUCACGCUUAGGAUGAAUUACAACAAGAACCAACAUUUCUUUAGUUCCAGCAGGCAUUAUUCUCUUGGAUUCACCUUUGCAAAGAAUUGAACAAAAUAGAAGCCAAAGAAGUAGACAGAAA